CCAUAAAGAGGCAUAAAGACCUUUAUAAGGUUUGUUGAAGCUUCACAGAAAGCCACAAAGGAAAAACUGGUGCACAAAGGCAAGGUUUAACAAAUGCCUCUGACACCCAGGAAUAUGAUUGCCAAUUACUUUGUACCAGCUACAAAAGCAAUGCGAGGAGGACCCAGUGCAUGGGGCAAGCUUGCAUGUAAGGCUCUACUGCUCUGCUGCUCUGAAAUUCAGUGGACACCUUGGCGGCCUGGGCUGCUCGCGGAGGGAGUAGGCACUGGUGCUGUUCGGGCUUGAUGAGAGAUGCCUGCACCUGCACAGAUGUCACCCUCCCGGCAACUCCUUUGUCCUACACAUUCCGCCUUGACUUUCUCCAGUUGGAUAACGUGAGUCCCGGAUGCCUCAGCCCAGCGAUAACCAGGGAGGGCAGCACGCUAUCUGACACGAGGCUUUGGAAAAUGGCAAUUCCAAGGGGGGGGAGGGGGGAAAUAAUGAAGGGAAGGGCUUUGCGGUUUUGAGUGGUCCCUUCACUAAUUUGGUAACUAACUCCUGCUACUUUCUUCCCAUUUCUGCUGUUAUAUGACUUGAUCCUCCAAACCUUUACUCUUGUGAGUGAUCCCAUUAAGAUAAAUGAGACCUCUCUCAGCUGACUGAGAGUGGGCAGGUAUCUGAAUAAAACGAUCAGCAAGAUCAA